CGGGGAUUAGCUCAGAUGGCUAGAGCGCCUGGUUUGGGACCAGGAGGUCGCGAGUUCGAGUCCCGCAUCCCCGA
rnacentral:tRNA from 1 species